rnacentral:rRNA from 1 species
UAAGGAAUAUUGGCCAAUGGACGCAAGCCUGAUCCAGCCAUGCCGCGUGCAGGAUGAAGGCCUUCGGGUUGUAAACUGCUUCUGUACGGAACGAAAAGACUCCUUCUAAUAAAGGGGGUCCAUGACGGUACCGUAAGAAUAAGCACCGGCUAACUACGUGCCAGCAGCCGCGGUAAUACGUAGGGUGCGAGCGUUAAUCGGAAUUACUGGGCGUAAAGCGUGCGCAGGCGGUUAUAUAAGACAGAUGUGAAAUCCCCGGGCUCAACCUGGGAACUGCAUUUGUGACUGUAUAGCUAGAGUACGGCAGAGGGGGAUGGAAUUCCGCGUGUAGCAGUGAAAUGCGUAGAUAUGCGGAGGAACACCGAUGGCGAAGGCAAUCCCCUGGGCCUGUACUGACGCUCAUGCACGAAAGCGUGGGGAGCAAACA